rnacentral:lncRNA from 1 species
CUCAGUUGGACAACUACAUGCAAAGUUGCUGAUAGUCUUGUUUCCUGUAUUUGUAAUAGACUGGGUUUUUGUUUUGUUUUGUUUUCCCCUAACUUCCUCUUUGUAUGCCCCUGAACUCUCUUUGUUAAUGCAAAGUCACUGCCUGUAUUUUGGCUGCUACCACACCUUAUUUUCUACGUUGCAAAAUAGGUAACUCUGCAUAGAGAUAAGAACCACUUUCCUGUCACUACCUGCGGGGUGGAGGAACCAUUCCUCCCAGAAGAUCCAGAAUGGUAUCUCUUUACUCUUGCAAAGUGUACAGGGAAGGAAGCACAGAAGCAAUUGCACAAGAGAAACAUCAAGGACAUAAUGAAGAUAAAACACGAUUAGACCGUAUGCCACUCCCCUCGGAGCACCUUGGACAGACAUGUGCGGGGAACACGGUCAUUACAUCAAGCAAGAGCGUCUGUGUGGAAUCUCUUUGUUGGCCACGUGACCCGACUUCGCAAACCAUUUGCCGGCUUUCAGGCUCCGUCUGCAGGUUACCCUUCACCAUCUUGACUCCUCACCCUGUGCCAUUCGUCCUGCUUUUGCUUCUGUUCGCUUCCCUGUGCCUCGAGAACUAGCAGGAGUGUGUUUGUUGAGGCAGACGGUGCCUCGCCUGCUGCUCUUUUCCACGUGUCACGCCUGAGGAGGCUCAGGGCCAGCUCAGUGGACUGACGUUUGGAAGAAUCAGUUACGUUCAGGUCUUUUUCUAAGACAGUCAUGUUCUUACUAUUCCAUUCUUACAUCAGCAUACAGGCAUUUGCCACUGGUAUUUAUAAUUACUGGCCCAUUUCAGAGACUCUCUCUCUCUCUCUCUUUUUUUUUAACCAAAACAAUGUCUCCUUAUUUGGUGACCCUCCCUGGCCCCUCUAUGUCUGCUCUGGAGCUAUGGUAACCCCCCACUAAAUUCAAGGCUGAAUGCAGACUCUCACCCACUCUUUUUAAAACAGCCUACAUCUUACCUUAAUCAGUCAAGAAAGUCCCCAGGUAACUUCCUGAGCCCCAGGUAAGGGCCCGGCACUGCACUGAAGGGUGUCAUGAGUACAAAUCAUCACGCACCCACCAAUAGAAAGGAGGGAAAUCCCUUAGGCUUCCUUUCCAGCCCUCUGGCUCUCCCCAAAUGCUGGCCCUCUAAAUUCCUCAGGGUACCAUCACACCACAGACAGGGCUGUUUCCUUGCUCAGACACCCGGCGUUUCUCCAGCUAAUGUAAAAACAGAGGAGAAACUAUGUUCUCUGCUAUUCCUAAACCCUAUUUUUGUCUCUUGGAUACUAAUUCAGAGGGAAAGUGAAACCAGCUAUGUAGCUGGUGUAGACACACCUUAAAG